UACAGAAGCCUCAAGCGUUACCCGGAUUUACUGGGCGUAAAGGGUGUGUAGGUGGUUUUGUUAGUCUUGCGUUAAAUCUUCGAGCUCAACUUGGAGGCUGCGUGAGAAACGGCAUAACUGGAGGAAGUGAGAGGUCUAGGGAACUCAUGGUGUAGGGGUGAAAUCCGUUGAUAUCAUGGGGAACACCAAAUGCAAAGGCACUAGACUGGCACUUUUCUGACACUGAGACACGAAAGCGUGGGUAGCGAAUCGG
rnacentral:rRNA from 1 species